rnacentral:tRNA from 1 species
GGGGGUAUAGCUCAGUGGUAGAGCACAUGCUUACCAUGCACGAGGUCCUACGUUCAAUCCCCAGCACUGCCA